rnacentral:rRNA from 1 species
GUGGAUUUUUAGCCCUGGUAGGAAGCUUCCCGGAAACGAAAGUCUUCCGGUUCCGGGGGAAGUAUGGUUGCAAAGCUGAAACUUAAAGGAAUUGACGGAAGGGCACCACCAGGAGUGGAGCCUGCGGCUUAAUUUGACUCAACACGGGGAAACUCACCCGGCCCGGACACCGUAAGGAUUGACAGAUUGAUAGCUCUUUCAUGAUUCGGUGGUUGGUGGUGCAUGGCCGUUCUUAGUUCGUGGAUCGAUUUGUCUGGUUUAUUCCGAUAACGAGCGAGACUCUAGCCUACUAAAUAGUAACGGAAUUACUACUGUUCCAGUUGCUUCUUAGAGGGAUUUUCGGUGUUUAGCCGCACGAGAUUGAGCAAUAACAGGUCUGUGAUGCCCUUAGAUGUCCGGGGCUGCACGCGCGCUACACUGGCGAAAUCAGCGUGCUGUAUCCAUUCUCGAAAGGGAUUGGUAAACCCAUGAAAAUUUGCCGUGCUUGGGAUCGGAAAUUGCAAUUAUUUUCCGUGAACGAGGAAUUCCAAGUAAGUGCGAGUCAUCAACUCGCUCUGAUUACGUC